rnacentral:rRNA from 1 species
ACGGGAGGCAGCAGCUAAGAAUAUUCCGCAAUGGACGAAAGUCUGACGGAGCGACGCCGCGUGGAUGAUGAAGGUCGGAAGAUUGUAAAAUCCUUUUAAGCAUGAAGAAUAAGCAGGACAGGAAAUGGUUCUGCGGUGACGGUAGUGCUUGAAUAAGCAACGACUAAUUACGUGCCAGCAGACGCGGUAAUACGUAAGUUGAGAGCGUCGUGCGGAAUUAUUGGGCGUAAAGGGCAUGUAGGCGGAUGUGCAAGUUUGGUGGGAAAGGCGGGAGCUUAACUCCCGGACUGCGUUGAGAACUGCAUAACUAGAGUGACUGAGGGGCAGGCAGAAUUCCAGGUGUAGGGGUGAAAUCUGUAGAUAUCUGGAAGAAUACCAAUGGCGAAGGCAGCCUGCCAGCAGAUGACUGACGCUGAGGUGCGAAGGUGCGGGGAGCAAACAGGAUUAGAUACCCUGGUA